CUACGUCUGGGCUCAGCUGAGCUUUCUGGGCUGAAUUCACUUGCAACCCAGAGCCCCUGGCAGCCAGGCAGUGCUGUGUUCCUUAGGGGCACAGCCUGCAUCUCAGGCUCUGUCUGUCAUCUCAGAGCCACAUUCAGGUUCCUGGCAGGAGCUGCCCUACGCUGUCCUCCAGGACAUGGGGCCUGAGGACGUCCAUGGCUGAUGAUGGCAGGUGGGGAAGCUGGGUGUGGGGUCCAGGCAGCAGUGGGCAGGGACCCUGAUCACAUAUGGGAGGAAAGGACACAGCUUCUGCAACCAACCCAAGCAUCUUCCCGCUGAGCCUCCCUGAUCCUCAGUCAGAGACCGUGGUCGUCGGCGUCCUGAUCCGGGGCUACUUCCCUGUGGGCCCUCUGAGUGUGAGCUGGAACGUCAGUGGGAAUGAAAUUAACUUCCCUCCUGCUGUGUCUGGGAGCCUGUACAGCUCAUGCAGCCAGCUGAGCCUGCCAAAAAACCAGUGCCCAUAUGAUGUGUCCUGCACCGUAGACCACAACAAAAACAUCAAGCAGGUGUCCGUGCCCUGCAAAGGUCCAACUCCAACAACCACGAUCUGCCCCUGCCCCUCCUGCCAGCCCAGCAUCUUCCUGCAGAGGCCAAACAUCAAAGACCUGCUCCUCAACUCAGAAGCCAGCAUCACCUGCACCCUGAAAGGCCUGAAGGACCCUGCAGGGGCCAUCUUCACCUGGUCACCUGACACGGGGAACACGCCUGUGCUGCUUAGUGCCCAGGAGGACUCCUGCGGCUGCUACAGUGUGUCCAGCGUGCUGCCCAGCUGCGCAGAACUCUGGAACCAGGGGAAGCAGUUCACAUGCACUGUCAAACACCCUGAGAUAGAGGACGGCUCACUGACUGACACCAUCAGCAAAAACACAGGGAACGUCAUCCCACCCCAGGUGCACCUGCUGCCGCCGCCGUCGGAAGAACUAGCCCUGAACGAGCUGGUGACGCUGACCUGCCUGGUGCGCGGCUUCAGCCCCAAGGACGUGCUCAUCUACUGGCUGCACCAGGGACAGGUGCUGCCCGAUGACAACUUCCUGGUGUUUAAGCCCCUGCCAGAACCCAACCAGACUUCCAGCACCUUCGCCGUGACCAGCCUGCUGCGCGUCACGGCCGUGGAUUGGAACAACGGGGACAACUUCUCCUGCGUGGUGGGACACGAGGGCCUGCCCGACAACUUCACCGAGAAGACCAUCGACCGUCUGUCGGGUAAACCCACCCACGUCAACGUGUCUGUGGUCGUGGCAGAUGUGGAAAGUGUCUGCUACUGAGCCACCCGCCCUGCCCUGAAUAAACUGUGUGCUGGCCCCAGCA